AUAGAGCCUCUAUCCAGUUCGAGUAUCUAUCUAGUAGUUGCUCUUAGUGAAAAAUGAAACUUGGGAAAAUAAAUUUUUGUUGAGAGAUUGUAGCAGUUGAGGACAAACAAGCAUAAGCAGGUUAUGCUUAUCGCAAGAUCUAUUAAUUUCCAGUGGGAGGGGAAAGCGAGUGGUUGCCAAGGGAGGUACUGCUCAGUUCUCUUAAGUCAGGAAAUGAAUGACAGUUUCAAUAGCAGCUGCUGGGCCUGGGGCCGGGCCUGCCACUCCCAGCCAACGCAGCCCAAGCUCCCUGGCACAGACCCACCACACGGCCAGUGUAGGCAUUGUGGGUGCAGCCCUGGGCGGCAAGCAGUUCCUCUUUGAGGAUCACCCCAGCCUGUUGCCAGGCCAGGGUGUAGGCCAGGCAGAGGUUCCACUGCCAGCCUUGGUUCUCUCUGUCUAGGGGUCUGCGUCCCUGGCCCAAGGAGAGGUCCUGGGGGGACACUUGGCUGGAGCCUUGCAUCUUCAGCUGCCACUUCAUAUUACAGUCUUGUA